UACGUAGGGUGCGAGCGUUAAUCAGAAUUACUGGGCGUAAAGCGUGCGCAGGCGGUGAUGUAAGACAGGUGUGAAAUCCCCGGGCUUAACCUGGGAACUGCAUUUGUGACUGCAUCGCUGGAGUGCGGCAGAGGGGGAUGGAAUUCCGCGUGUAGCAGUGAAAUGCGUAGAUAUGCGGAGGAACACCGAUGGCGAAGGCAAUCCCCUGGGCCUGCACUGACGCUCAUGCACGAAAGCGUGGGGAGCAAACAGG
rnacentral:rRNA from 1 species